rnacentral:piRNA from 1 species
UGCGGCAGGCUUGUUGAGUACUUCCA